rnacentral:lncRNA from 1 species
AUGACAGCCCCGCAGCACCACACAAACCCCAUUACCAACCCCAGAAAGCUGGCAAAAGGAGAAGAAGAAAAAAAAAAAGGGCAAAACAAAAACAAAACGGACGCAGAAGCAGCACGGGGCCUGCUCUGUGAGGGAGCGGCGCACUACAAGCCCCACAACGCCUUUCGGGCCGCGGGCAUGCGCCGCCGCCGCCACCGCCACCCCGGGGCUCCACAGCGCGGCGGGCGAGGGGCCGCCGCCUCCCGCUGCCGCCGCCGGAGGGGGCGGUCGGGGCGGCACGGCACGGCGGGGCCGGGCCGGAGGCAGCCGCCGGAGGCAGACCUUCGCUGCUGGUGGCAGGACGUGCUCCCUCCUGUGUCAGCGCACCGUCGGCUCCAACACUGUCCUGCAGCUGCCUCUCCUGUCCUGGCAGAGAACUGGUCUAGUCGUGUACUUUAAGCACCUGCCUAAGUGGUCACAGCAUAGCGCAUCAGUUCUGUGCCAUCAGAGGAUCACGUUUCAAAAUUACAACUUUUCUUCUGAACAAGGAGGGGAAAAAAAGGGUUCCUGGUUACCAUGGUGAUGAGCGCUUCAGAAAUGUCUAUAAAUAAAUAAAGUAAACAGCUGAUUGUUGGACUUUGA